GUUAGUACUGGAUCUACUGGGUCAGAGUCAGCUUCACCCAAACAUUACUCUGCAGCUCUUGUCCAAUAUCUUCUUCUUCACCAACGCGUCGCUGUUCAACACUCUGAUGGACGAAGGGCCGGUGACAGGUUUUACCGCUGGAACAAGGGUAUUCAGAUUCGCACCAAUCUAGACAUACUGGAGACAUGGGCAUCACAGCAAGGUGUCACCAAGAAGCUAUUCGUCAUCUACAACAGCUGUCAGCCGCAGCUGAUCUGCUUGCAUCGCCAAAGCAGGCCUUGCUUCAGACAUCAUGGUCACAGUUGCGUGCCGAGCACAAGUCGCUGACACCAGCUCAGUUACAUCGUCUGUUACAACACUAUCAACUCGGUGCCAACCAUCGACGUCCUAUUGGCUGGCUGCCGCUGUCUUCAGAGAUGGCUAGUGCACAGGAUGUGGGUGAGUUGUG